GCUCACGGCCAUAUCAGCCUGGGUACGCCCGAUCUCGUCUGAUCUCGGAAGCUAAGCAGGGUCGGGCCUGGUUAGUACUUGGAUGGGAGACCGCCUGGGAAUACCAGGUGCUGUAAGCA
rnacentral:rRNA from 1 species